rnacentral:rRNA from 1 species
AUAAUACUCCAUAGAUUAGAGAUACUGGAAUGUUCUUUAGUCAAAAGUUCCGGCGCCUUAGGAUGGAUCUGCGGUCGAUUAGGUUGUUGUUGGGGUAACGGCCCAACAAGCCAGUAAUCGGUACGGGUUGUGGGAGCAAGAGCCCGGAGUUGGAUUCUGAGACACGAAUCCAGGCCCUACGGGGCGCAGCAGGCGCGAAAACUUUACAAUGCGGGCAACCGUGAUAAGGGAACCUCGAGUGCCUGUAUAUGCAGGCUGUCUGAGUGUCUAAAACACACUCAAAGAAAGGGCCGGGCAAGACCGGUGCCAGCCGCCGCGGUAAUACCGGCGGCUCGAGUGGUGGCCACUUUUAUUGGGCUUAAAGCGUUCGUAGCUGGGUUAUUAAGUCCCUUGGGAAAUCCGGCGGCUUAACCGUCGGGCGUCUAAGGGAUACUGGUAAUCUUGGAACCGGGAGAGGUGAGGGGUACUUCGGGGGUAAGAGUGAAAUCCUGUAAUCCUCGAAGGACCACCUGUGGCGAAGGCGCCUCACCAGAACGGACCUGACGGCAAGGGACGAAAGCUAGGGGCACGAACCGGAUUAAAUAGCCGGGUAGUCCUAGCCGUAAACGAUACUCGCUAGGUGU